rnacentral:rRNA from 1 species
CGGACGGGUGAGUAAUACAUAGGAAUCUGCCCAGUAGCGGGGGACAACUCGGAGAAAUCCGAGCUAAUACCGCAUACGCCCUACGGGGGAAAGCAGGGGAUCUUCGGACCUUGCACUAUUGGAUGAGCCUAUGUCAGAUUAGCUUGUUGGUGGGGUAACGGCCUACCAAGGCGACGAUCAGUAGCUGGUCUGAGAGGACGAUCAGCCACACUGGGACUGAGACACGGCCCAG